GAGAUUACGAGCCCACUGGCAGGAUGAACAACUCCAGACGCGCGGCGCCUUAAGAGCUGUAACACCGCGAAGGUCUGUAGCUUCAUUCCUGAGCUAGCGAGAGCGCGAACCUACCAGAAGGAAGAAACUCCGAACACAUCGGAACAUCAGAACGAGCAAACUCCGGACACCCCGCCUUUAGGAACUGCAACACUCACCGCGAGGCCCUCAGGACAGGAACCCCCUCUGCCUCCAAGUCGGCAAACUGCUCCAGACCCCUCCUCUUGGCCGCUGCCUGGGAGAAGGCCCCCACCGGCUACCUUGGCCCCCACCUUGCCUGGCCAGUCCUGUCCUGGGAGGGUCAUGACCCAGCCCCAGGGCCAUCGAGGAAAGGAGUGCCAGCCCUGGCUCCGGGUGCCCCACUCAGGCUGUCUAUCUGAUGCCCCCAACACUGCCCCGCCCCUGCCUGCUCCUGGCACCGGAGACCCUGCUGACUGUGCCAGGGGCUAAUCUGGGAACUGGCAGCUGUGAGUCCUGGCCCUGCCACUCGACCUCUGGCGGCUAGCGGCGAGGCCCCU
rnacentral:lncRNA from 1 species